AUGAACGCUAGCUACAGGCUUAACACAUGCAAGUCGAGGGGCAUCAGGAAGAAAGCUUGCUUUCUUUGCUGGCGACCGGCGCACGGGUGAGUAACACGUAUCCAACCUGCCCUUUACUCGGGGAUAGCCUUUCGAAAGAAAGAUUAGUACCCGAUGGCAUAAUGAUUCCGCAUGGUUUCAUUAUUAAAGGAUUCCGGUAAAGGAUGGGGAUGCGUUCCAUUAGGUUGUUGGUGAGGUAACGGCUCACCAAGCCUUCGAUGGAUAGGGGUUCUGAGAGGAAGGUCCCCCACAUUGGAACUGAGACACGGUCCAAACUCCUACGGGAGGCAGCAGUGAGGAAUAUUGGUCAAUGGGCGCUAGCCUGAACCAGCCAAGUAGCGUGAAGGAUGAAGGCUCUAUGGGUCGUAAACUUCUUUUAUAUAAGAAUAAAGUGCAGUAUGUAUACUGUUUUGUAUGUAUUAUAUGAAUAAGGAUCGGCUAACUCCGUGCCAGCAGCCGCGGUAAUACGGAGGAUCCGAGCGUUAUCCGGAUUUAUUGGGUUUAAAGGGAGCGUAGGUGGACUGGUAAGUCAGUUGUGAAAGUUUGCGGCUCAACCGUAAAAUUGCAGUUGAUAUUGUCAGUCUUGAGUACAGUAGAGGUGGGCGGAAUUCGUGGUGUAGCGGUGAAAUGCUUAGAUAUCACGAAGAACUCCGAUUGCGAAGGCAGCUCACUGGACUGCAACUGACACUGAUGCUCGAAAGUGUGGGUAUCAAACAGGAUUAGAUGCCCUGGUAGUCCACACAGUAAACGAUGAAUACUCGCUGUUUGCGAUAUACAGUAAGCGGCCAAGCGAAAGCAUUAAGUAUUCCACCUGGGGAGUACGCCGGCAACGGUGAAACUCAAAGGAAUUGACGGGGGCCCGCACAAGCGGAGGAACAUGUGGUUUAAUUCGAUGAUACGCGAGGAACCUUACCCGGGCUUAAAUUGCAGUGGAAUGAUGUGGAAACAUGUCAGUGAGCAAUCACCGCUGUGAAGGUGCUGCAUGGUUGUCGUCAGCUCGUGCCGCGAGGUGUCGGCUUAAGUGCCAUAACGAGCGCAACCCUUAUCUUUAGUUACUAACAGGUUAUGCUGAGGACUCUAGAGAGACUGCCGUCGUAAGAUGUGAGGAAGGUGGGGAUGACGUCAAAUCAGCACGGCCCUUACGUCCGGGGCUACACACGUGUUACAAUGGGGGGUACAGAAGGCAGCUAGCGGGUGACCGUAUGCUAAUCCCAAAAGCCUCUCUCAGUUCGGAUCGAAGUCUGCAACCCGACUUCGUGAAGCUGGAUUCGCUAGUAAUCGCGCAUCAGCCACGGCGCGGUGAAUACGUUCCCGGGCCUUGUACACACCGCCCGUCAAGCCAUGGGAGCCGGGGGUACCUGAAGUACGUAACCGCAAGGAUCGUCCUAGGGUAAAACUGGUGACUGG
rnacentral:rRNA from 1 species